rnacentral:rRNA from 1 species
GAUGAACGCUGGCGGCGUGCUUAACACAUGCCAGUCGAACGGGAAACCUUUUAUUGAAGCUUCGGCAGAUUUCGCUGGUUUCUAGUGGCGGACGGGUGAGUAACGCGUGGGUAACCUGCCUUAUACAGGGGGAUAACAGUCAGAAAUGGCUGCUAAUACCGCAUAAGCGCACAGAGCUGCAUGGCUCAGUGUGAAAAACUCCGGUGGUAUAAGAUGGGCCCGCGUUGGAUUAGCUGGUUGGUGGGGUAACGGCCCACCAAGGCGACGAUCCAUAGCCGGCCUGAGAGGGUGAACGGCCACAUUGGGACUGAGACACGGCCCAGACUCCUACGGGAGGCAGCAGUGGGGAAUAUUGCACAAUGGGGGAAACCCUGAUGCAGCGACGCCGCGUGAAGGAAGAAGUAUCUCGGUAUGUAAACUUCUAUCAGCAGGGAAGAUAAUGACGGUACCUGACUAAGAAGCCCCGGCUAACUACGUG